GGCAUGGUGGCUGAGUGGUAAAGCACUUGGCUUCCAAACUGGAGGGUCCAUGGUUUGAAUCCUGGUGAAGACU
rnacentral:tRNA from 1 species